UCUAUUUUCAUUCAGGUCUACGAAGACUCGAAAUCCUUCACAAAGGACACUUCACAGAUGAUCAACACGUGCUUGCCGGUUCCACGUUUGAAGGAAGCUUUGCAAAUGCUCCUCAGCAGCACAGACCGCAACGCCGUAGACCGGCAGAGAUGACGGACGUUCAUUCGGCCGAGCUGCCGCGCGCAGAACCAGCUGCAGGCCCUUGCAGCCUCAAAGCAGGCGGUGCAGCUGUAGCAAAUAGCGACGUUGCCAGCUGCAAACCUGUCGAUGCCAGGAGCCUUCGACACAGAGGACGGAACAAAGAAAGCCUACGGCGGCGUAUCUAAAGCUGACGUCUUCGAAGUGUUUCCACACGAGGGCACCACUUCUUCACUGCUUUUGCAAAGCCUCGAAGCGCCGUUCAAAGCUAACACCGACUCGUGGACAUUUGAUUUGAUCGAAGCAAAAUAUGGCCGAGCUCCCGUCGAGUCUCUGGAUCCUGCGAUGCAGCUGGAUUUCCAGGCGGCUUGUGGCGAAGACAAGUCUGACGGACGGCGCUCGGCGGAGCCGAUCGACCGUGCUGACGCCGAAGCCGUGAGCAGUCGCGUACCUCGGGCAGACCACGGCGCUGGCACGGCAAGCGAGGCCCUGAGCAGGCUCUCCCUCUCUUGCGCAAGGGAAGAUGCCGCCGCCGCCGCCGUCCACCGGACGGGACGCCCUCGCGGACUUCGAGCGGGAGGUAGUCGGAGCCGAUUCGUGCACGGUCCCCGAGAAGAGAUUCACACGGGAACGUCCCCCGGGUGGUGGCGCCGACGAGGGCGGUUCCUGCGAGGAUUCUACAAAGCCGGCGGCUGCCGCUGGGGCGACCUCUCAGCAAGGUCCAAGUAAUUUCAGGGGCAGGGAGUGUCGGCGAGCAGGCUGGAGCGUGUGGGUCAACGGAGGCCUCCUGAUCCGCAGCACAUUUCUAAAGAAAUGCAUACGCAUCCUGCCAAGGUGAGGAUGAUGAGCAAAAUCCAGCUGUACAUGGAGGGACGUAUCGACACAGCGGAGCUGGUCUCUCUGGAUGCAGAUCAAGAUCAAGCCGCAGCUGAAGAAAAUCACUCUUCAUAGUCGCAAGCAGAUGUUGUACACAGCACGGCGGAAUCAAACAGCCGAGAAUGCGGUGCAUCGCCACAGCACGACACGACAGCGUAGUUACCUUCAUUUCCUCCGGGGCGUUGGGCUCGGAUGUGUAAAUGCUCCAACUGAAUUGGUCUCAUUGUUGUGUUAGGGAGGACCCUGCGGUGUCACGUAAAAUUGUUGUUCGACCAUUCCAUCUUCUUCCUGGCAUUGUUACCGCUCGUGUGGGCUUGGCCAUAUUCUCCACCCAUCCCUGUCCUGAGUCAACAUCUGAAGCAUCUCUCAUCACUUCCAGCCACCGUUCUCUGGGCCUGCCUCUCGACCUCUGCUCAGGCACUUUCAUCUGAAUUCCCAAGUGGUUUCCUCUCUUCUUGUCACUUUUCCUAGCCACCUGAGUCGAAGUUUUUUCAGGGUAGCAGAGCUAUUGUGUUGGGCCACCAUGUGUGACAGUGAUUCACGGCUAAGGAGGAGAUGUGAACUCGGGUUUUUAGCUGAAGGGACUUGUGGUGGUGCCACCAUGACUCAUUCCAUUUAUUGUUCAUUGUUAUACAGGAAUAUCGAUUCAUCAUCAGCCAUGAUCAGUCCACUGCUGGAGGAAGGCCUCGCCAAGCCGGUGCCUGCGUUACAGUGAUCCAUCAGAACCUACAUGCCGAUUAUUGCCAAUUCGUAUACAAGUUUUUGUACAUAUAUUGUUAAAAUAUUAGAGUCAAACGUGUUAUGCCAAAAGCAAAAUUUUUUUUUUAAAUGGGAACGUUAUGAAUUAAGUGAUACGCUCUUCAUUUUAAUGCUUAAGUUUUUAUUUUACCAUUUCAGUGCGUCACUCAUCAGCAUGCGGAUAUUGAGUACAUUUUAGUGCGCGGCCGUGUUGGGUAUAUUAGCGCAUAACGUUUUUUUAAUAAUCAAUGUGAAACGAAUGUUAUUGUUGGAUGAACCGGUUUGUGAAGAAACUAAUUUCUAACUUACGGAAAAUCAAAAAGCUUAAUCAAAUACAAAACAUGGUCCGAAGUUGCUUCCGUAAAAGUGACCAGUCAGUAUUGUCGCCAACGUCUACGUUACAGGUUGCCCUCACUUGCUGUGAUGGAUGCAUUCCAAAAACACGAAGCGAAAUCGCGCAGCCACGGAGCGCACGGUCACCACAAUGCGCCGCACGAGGAGACCGCUGCCUGCCGAUUAGCGUGUACAGUACACAGUACACACACUACACACACAGUACACACAGUACAUACACACAGUACACACACACACACAGUACGCACAGUACGCACACAGUACACACAGUACACACACAGUACACACACAGUACAUACACAGUACACACACACGCACAAUGUUGUGUCCCACAUCUGACUGCACAGCCGCAUACGAGUGAAUUUGACCCGCACGAAGCGAAUUUUGGGUAGAAAUAGCUUAGCCGCGUGUAUGCAAAAUCGCACAAACCGAACCCGCACGUAGCGAGGGGAAACCCGUACUUGGCUUCUACGCGUGGCGGUUUCAGCAUCGCCGGUGAUGCGGUCGGUGUGCGUCGGACGAACGCUCGAGAGAUUUGGCACUUUGCUGUGCUUUUGCUACCAGAAUUACGAUUCAAUAUCUAUUGAUGCUUGGGUCUGAUCGCGAAAGUAAAAUGUUGUCGUAAACCCUCCUCCACCCGACACAGCCAAUGGAUAAAGUUUGUGGCGUUAACAAAUUUACUGAUUUAUUACGACUGCUGGGCAGAAUCCUGUCAACUGCCUGAUGAUGCUGGCUGUAACUACCAGUGAAAACUCUUCUCUGUUGUCAAAUGUGUGUGGAUCACUCUCCCACAAUAGACUGGUGUGGUACUGCUGAAGCUGGAAUAUACUGGCACGUUUUUUUUCCUAGAUUUGAAGUUUUCGUGACUACAAGGAUUCAUACUCUUUGGUUUUUUCGGUAAAGUCACGUAGGUAAAAAAAAAUCAGUACUGGCACGUUUGUUCAUCGUAGUGAUCGAGAUAUCGUAGUGAUCGAGAUAUCGUAUCAAUUCCGGUGUCAGGUUCGCGAAGCUUAGGAUAUCGAAAGCGAGAUUUGGAAUACAUAUUAUCAACACUUCUUUUGCUUAGUGUGAGGAGACUAACCAUUUGAAUGUUGAAGAUUGUAUAUUUAUUGUAUAGUUUGCAGUAAGUAGUUGACAUUAAACUAGUCUUAUGAAUUGUA